GCGGACGGGUGAGUAACGUGUGGGCAACCUGCCCUGCACUGGGGAAUAAUCAUUGGAAACGAUGACUAAUACCGCAUACGGUUCCCGGGAGGCAUCUUCCGGGAAAGAAAGGAUUUAUUCGGUGCAGGAUGGGCCCGCAUCUGAUUAGCUAGUUGGUGAGAUAACAGCUCACCAAGGCGACGAUCAGUAGCCGACCUGAGAGGGUGACCGGCCACAUUGGGACUGAGACACGGCCCAAACUCCUACGGGAGGCAGCAGUGGGGAAUAUUGCACAAUGGGCGAAAGCCUGAUGCAGCAACGCCGCGUGAAGGAAGAAGGGUUUCGGCUCGUAAACUUCUAUCAACAGGGACGAAAGAAAUGACGGUACCUGAAUAAGAAGCCCCGGCUAACUACGUGCCAGCAGCCGCGGUAAUACGUAGGGGGCAAGCGUUAUCCGGAAUUACUGGGUGUAAAGGGUGAGUAGGCGGCAUGGUAAGCCAGAUGUGAAAGCCUUGGGCUUAACCCAAGGAUUGCAUUUGGAACUAUCAAGCUAGAGUACAGGAGAGGAAAGCGGAAUUCCUAGUGUAGCGGUGAAAUGCGUAGAUAUUAGGAAGAACACCAGUGGCGAAGGCGGCUUUCUGGACUGAAACUGACGCUGAGGCACGAAAGCGUGGGGAGCGAACAGGAUUAGAUACCCUGGUAGU
rnacentral:rRNA from 1 species